GAUGAACGCUGGCGGCGUGCUUAACACAUGCAAGUCGAACGAUGAAGCCCAGCUUUCGGGGUGUAUUCGUGGCGAACGGGUGAGUAACACGCGAGUAACCUGCCCUUGACUCUGGGAUAAGCCUUUGAGACUGGGUCUAUUACUGGAUAUAACUUCUCAUCUCAUGGUGUGGGGUGGAAAGAUUUAUUGGUCUUGGAUGGACUCGCGGCCUAUCAGCUUGUUGGUGAGGGAAUGGCUCACCAAGGCGACGACGGGUAGACGGCCUGAGAGGGUGACCGGCCACACUGGGACUGAGACACGGCCCAGACUCCUACGGGAGGCAGCAGUGGGGAAUAUUGCACAAUGGGCGCAAGCCUGAUGCAGCGACGCCGCGUGCGGGAUGACGGCCUUCGGGUUGUAAACCUCUUUCAGUAGAGAAGAAGCGAGAGUGACGGUACCUGCAGAAGAAGCGCCGGCUAACUACGUG
rnacentral:rRNA from 1 species